rnacentral:rRNA from 1 species
AAGUAGUCACGAGUUUGAUCCUGGCUCAGAAUGAACGCUGGCGGCAGGCCUAACACAUGCAAGUCGAGCGAGGACUUCGGUCCUAGCGGCGGACGGGUGAGUAACGCGUGGGAAUAUGCCCUUUGGUACGGAAUAGCCUCGGGAAACUGGGAGUAAUACCGUAUGUGCCCUUCGGGGGAAAGAUUUAUCGCCAAAGGAUUAGCCCGCGUUGGAUUAGGUAGUUGGUGGGGUAAUGGCCUACCAAGCCGACGAUCCAUAGCUGGUUUGAGAGGAUGAUCAGCCACACUGGGACUGAGACACGGCCCAGACUCCUACGGGAGGCAGCAGUGGGGAAUCUUAGACAAUGGGCGCAAGCCUGAUCUAGCCAUGCCGCGUGAUCGAUGAAGGCCUUAGGGUUGUAAAGAUCUUUCAGAUGGGAAGAUAAUGACUGUACCAUCAGAAGAAGCCCCGGCUAACUCCGUG